AUGAACGCUGUAAAAAGUGCAUGACACAUGCAAGUUUAAAAGUUUUUUUAACUUUGGCGCACGGGUGAGAAAGUAUUAUAUAGCUGCCCAUAGAUUUUGCUAAAUUCAUUAAAUUAUAUUGUCAUUGGAUGCUUAUAUAUUGGAUUAGGUAGUUGACCAGAUAGCAGCCGGCCAAGCCAUUAAUAUCCAUAGCUGUCUUGAGAGAGUGAACAGCCACACUGGGAUUGAGAUACGGCCCAGACACAGUCAGCAGUGCGGAAUAUUGGACAAUGAGCGAAAGCUUGAUCCAGCAACUUUUUAAGGAAGAAGACCGCUCAUAGGCUGAACUUUCUGAAACUUGGUAAAAAUUAUUAGUUAUUGACUAAGUAAAAGCCCUGGCUAAAGCUCCGU
rnacentral:rRNA from 1 species